GGGAGGGAUCCUGGCGGGUGCGAUCAUACCGGAUCCCAUCAGAGCUCCGCAGUUAAGCGUGCUCGGGCUAGAGCAGUUCCAGGAUGGGUGACCUCCCGGGAAGUCCUAGUGUUGCACCGU
rnacentral:rRNA from 1 species